GGGUUGUGAGGUUAAGCGACUAAGCGUACACGGUGGAUGCCCUGGCAGUCAGAGGCGAUGAAGGGCGUGCUAAUCUGCGAUAAGCGCCGGUAAGGUGAUAUGAACCGUUAUAACCGGCGAUACCCGAAUGGGGAAACCCAGUGUGAUUCGUCACACUAUCAUUAACUGAAUCCAUAGGUUAAUGAGGCGAACCGGGGGAACUGAAACAUCUAAGUACCCCGAGGAAAAGAAAUCAACCGAGAUUCCCCCAGUAGCGGCGAGCGAACGGGGAGGAGCCCAGAGCCUGAAUCAGCAUGUGUGUUAGUGGAAGCGUCUGGAAAGGCGCGCGAUACAGGGUGACAGCCCCGUACACAAAAGCGCAUGUGCUGUGAGCUCGAUGAGUAGGGCGGGACACGUGGUAUCCUGUCUGAAUAUGGGGGGACCAUCCUCCAAGGCUAAAUACUCCUGACUGACCGAUAGUGAACCAGUACCGUGAGGGAAAGGCGAAAAGAACCCCGGCGAGGGGAGUGAAAAAGAACCUGAAACCGUGUACGUACAAGCAGUGGGAGCCCCACCACUAAGCCAGUGGUGAACUCCACAUACGCAUCCUUUGCUGAGGAUACGGUUAACGGAGCGAAAGCGACGUUCAACCGCAAAAGAAGCAGAGGGGGCUUAGUGGUGGGGUGACUGCGUACCUUUUGUAUAAUGGGUCAGCGACUUAUAUUCUGUAGCAAGGUUAACCGAAUAGGGGAGCCGGAGGGAAACCGAGUCUUAAUUGGGCGUUAAGUUGCAGGGUAUAGACCCGAAACCCGGUGAUCUAGCCAUGGGCAGGUUGAAGGUUGGGUAACACUAACUGGAGGACCGAACCGACUAAUGUUGAAAAAUUAGCGGAUGACCUGUGGCUGGGGGUGAAAGGCCAAUCAAACCGGGAGAUAGCUGGUUCUCCCCGAAAGCUAUUUAGGUAGCGCCUCGUGAAUUCAUCUCCGGGGGUAGAGCACUGUUUCGGCUAGGGGGCCAUCCCGGCUUACCAACCCGAUGCAAACUGCGAAUACCGGAGAAUGUUAUCACGGGAGACACACGGCGGGUGCUAACGUCCGUCGUGAAGAGGGAAACAACCCAGACCGCCAGCUAAGGUCCCAAAGUCAUGGUUAAGUGGGAAACGAUGUGGGAAGGCCCAGACAGCCAGGAUGUUGGCUUAGAAGCAGCCAUCAUUUAAAGAAAGCGUAAUAGCUCACUGGUCGAGUCGGCCUGCGCGGAAGAUGUAACGGGGCUAAACCAUGCACCGAAGCUGCGGCAGCGACACUCAGGUGUUGUUGGGUAGGGGAGCGUUCUGUAAGCCUGUGAAGGUGGCCUGUGAGGGUUGCUGGAGGUAUCAGAAGUGCGAAUGCUGACAUAAGUAACGAUAAAGCGGGUGAAAAGCCCGCUCGCCGGAAGACCAAGGGUUCCUGUCCAACGUUAAUCGGGGCAGGGUGAGUCGACCCCUAAGGCGAGGCCGAAAGGCGUAGUCGAUGGGAAACGGGUUAAUAUUCCCGUACUUGGUGUUACUGCGAAGGGGGGACGGAGAAGGCUAUGUUGGCCGGGCGACGGUUGUCCCGGUUUAAGCGUGUAGGUGUGUGUUCCAGGUAAAUCCGGUUCACUUUAACACUGAGGCGUGAUGACGAGGCACUACGGUGCUGAAGCAACAAAUGCCCUGCUUCCAGGAAAAGCCUCUAAGCAUCAGGUAACAUCAAAUCGUACCCCAAACCGACACAGGUGGUCAGGUAGAGAAUACCAAGGCGCUUGAGAGAACUCGGGUGAAGGAACUAGGCAAAAUGGUGCCGUAACUUCGGGAGAAGGCACGCUGACACGUAGGUGAAGUGAUUUACUCAUGGAGCUGAAGUCAGUCGAAGAUACCAGCUGGCUGCAACUGUUUAUUAAAAACACAGCACUGUGCAAACACGAAAGUGGACGUAUACGGUGUGACGCCUGCCCGGUGCCGGAAGGUUAAUUGAUGGGGUCAGCGCAAGCGAAGCUCCUGAUCGAAGCCCCGGUAAACGGCGGCCGUAACUAUAACGGUCCUAAGGUAGCGAAAUUCCUUGUCGGGUAAGUUCCGACCUGCACGAAUGGCGUAAUGAUGGCCAGGCUGUCUCCACCCGAGACUCAGUGAAAUUGAACUCGCUGUGAAGAUGCAGUGUACCCGCGGCAAGACGGAAAGACCCCGUGAACCUUUACUAUAGCUUGACACUGAACAUUGAGCCUUGAUGUGUAGGAUAGGUGGGAGGCUUUGAAGUGUGGACGCCAGUCUGCAUGGAGCCGACCUUGAAAUACCACCCUUUAAUGUUUGAUGUUCUAACGUGGACCCGUGAUCCGGGUUGCGGACAGUGUCUGGUGGGUAGUUUGACUGGGGCGGUCUCCUCCUAAAGAGUAACGGAGGAGCACGAAGGUUGGCUAAUCCUGGUCGGACAUCAGGAGGUUAGUGCAAUGGCAUAAGCCAGCUUGACUGCGAGCGUGACGGCGCGAGCAGGUGCGAAAGCAGGUCAUAGUGAUCCGGUGGUUCUGAAUGGAAGGGCCAUCGCUCAACGGAUAAAAGGUACUCCGGGGAUAACAGGCUGAUACCGCCCAAGAGUUCAUAUCGACGGCGGUGUUUGGCACCUCGAUGUCGGCUCAUCACAUCCUGGGGCUGAAGUAGGUCCCAAGGGUAUGGCUGUUCGCCAUUUAAAGUGGUACGCGAGCUGGGUUUAGAACGUCGUGAGACAGUUCGGUCCCUAUCUGCCGUGGGCGCUGGAGAACUGAGGGGGGCUGCUCCUAGUACGAGAGGACCGGAGUGGACGCAUCACUGGUGUUCGGGUUGUCAUGCCAAUGGCACUGCCCGGUAGCUAAAUGCGGAAGAGAUAAGUGCUGAAAGCAUCUAAGCACGAAACUUGCCCCGAGAUGAGUUCUCCCUGAGACUUAGAGUCUCCUGAAGGAACGUUGAAGACGACGACGUUGAUAGGCCGGGUGUGUAAGCGCAGCGAUGCGUUGAGCUAACCGGUACUAAUGAACCGUGAGGCUUAACCUUACAACGCCGAAG
rnacentral:rRNA from 1 species